rnacentral:rRNA from 1 species
UACAGAGGUCUCGAGCGUUAGGCGGAAUCACUGGGCUUAAAGCGUGUGUAGGCGGAUCGUUAAGUGCCUUGUGAAAUCCCACGGCUCAACCGUGGAACUGCUUGGCAUACUGGCGGUCUUGAGCAACCUAGGGGCGAGCGGAACAAAUGGUGGAGCAGUGAAAUGCGUAGAUAUCAUUUGGAACGCCAAUGGUGAAAACAGCUCGCUGGGGGUUUGCUGACGCUGAGACACGAAAGCCAGGGGAGCAAACGGG